rnacentral:rRNA from 1 species
AUGGACAUGUGCAUGGGCAUGGCCAAGCUGCUGCUGCUGCUGCUGCUCCUCGUGGUCACCGCCAGCCACGGCCACGCGGCGGCGGCGGCGGCGGGGAAGGAGAGGAACACGAUCACGCACGUCAAGGGGUUCGACGGCCCGCUGCCCUUCGCCCUGGAGACCGGGUACGUGGAGGUGGACGAGGCGCACGGCGCCGAGCUCUUCUACUACUUCAUCCAGUCGGAGCGCAGCCCGCGGGAGGACCCGCUCAUCCUCUGGAUCACCGGCGGCCCCGGCUGCUCCGCGCUCUCGGGCCUCCUCUUCGAGAUCGGGCCCCUCAAGUUCGACGUGGCGGGGUACACCGAGGGCUUCCCGCGCCUCGUCUACUUCGAGGACUCGUGGACCCGGGUCAGCAACGUCAUCUUCCUCGACGCGCCCGUGGGCACCGGCUUCUCCUAUGCGCGCGACGAGGAGGGCCUCGACGUCAGCCUCACCGGCACCGGCACGCACCUCCGGGUGUUCCUGCAGCGGUGGAUCGCUGAUCACCCUGAGUUCGCCUCCAACCCACUCUACAUCGGCGGCGACUCCUACUCCGGGUACACCGUCCCGGUCGCCGCGCUCGAGAUCGCCGACCAGCCGGAUAAGGGAGGGCUGAACCUCAAGGGGUACCUGGUGGGCAACGCCGGCACCGACGACAAGUACGACUCCGGCGGCAAGGUCCCCUUCAUGCACGGCAUGGGGCUCAUCUCCGACGAGCUCUACGAGGCGGCGAAGGGCAGCUGCGGCGGGGACUUCGUGACGACGCCCAGGAACGUGCAGUGCGCCAACGCGCUCAUGGCGAUCACCAUGGCCACCUUCGCCGUCAACCCGGUGCACAUCCUCGAGCCCAUGUGCGGCCUGGCGCUGCGCCCUCCGACGACCCCAAUCAGCAGCAUCCUCUCCACGGGCACGAGGAGAAGGUCGGCGAGGCUGCUGGUGCAGGAGGCGGACCGGCUGGCGCUCCCGGUGGAGUGCCGGGACAACGGGUACCGGCUGUCCUACACCUGGGCGGACGACGCGGAGGUGAGGGCGACGCUGGGCAUCCGGGAGGGGUCGGUCGGCGCGUGGAGCCGGUGCGUCACGCUGACGCACUUCCGGCACGACGUGUACAGCACCGUGCCCUACCACGCCAACCUGACGCGGCGCGGCUACCGCGCGCUGGUGUACAACGGCGACCACGACCUGGACAUGACCUUCGUGGGCACGCAGGCGUGGAUCCGGACGCUGGGGUACCCCGCGGUGGCGCCGUGGCGGCCGUGGUACGCCAACCGGCAGGUCGCCGGGUUCACGACGGAGUACGCCCACAACCUCACCUUCGCCACCGUCAAGGGCGGCGGCCACACCGCGCCCGAGUACCGCCCCAAGGAGUGCCUCGCCAUGCUCGACAGGUGGACCUCCGCCGACGGCAGGCUCUGA